rnacentral:tRNA from 1 species
UCAGGAUGGCCGAGCUGUCCAAGGCGCUGCGUUCAGGUCGCAGUCCACUCUGUGGGCGUGGGUUCGAAUCCCACUCCUGACA